CUUUUGAUAUAUAUCACAGAAAAUGGUGUUGAUGAUAAUAAUAUCAAGGAUUUACCACUUAAGGAUGCCUUAGAAGACAAUGUUCGGGUUCUCUAUUACUACCAACAUCUUCGAUAUCUACAAAGCGCAAUCAAGAAAGGCUCAAAUGUAAAAGCAUAUUUUGCUUGGGCAUUUUUGGAUGAUUUCGAAUGGGAUGCCGGCUUCACUGUUCGGUUUGGUCUC